rnacentral:tRNA from 1 species
AGAAAAAUAAGCUAACCUAAGCUAUUAGGUUCAUACCCUAAACAUAGAAGAUUAACCUUCUUUUUUCUA